rnacentral:rRNA from 1 species
CCUACGGGUGGCAGCAGUGGGGAAUCUUCCACAAUGGACGAAAGUCUGAUGGAGCAACGCCGCGUGAGUGAAGAAGGGUUUCGGCUCGUAAAGCACUGUUGGUGGGGAAGAAAGAUAGAGGUAGUAAAUGGCCUUUCAUUGACGGUAAUUACUUAGAAAGUCACGGCUAACUCCGUGCCAGCAGCCGCGGUAAUACGUAGGUUGCAAGCGUUGUCCGGAUUUAUUGGGCGUAAAGCGAGUGCAGGCGGUUCAAUAAGUCUGAUGUGAAAGCCUUGGGCUCAACCGGAGAAUUGCAUCAGAAACUGGUGAACUUGAGUGCAGAAGAGGAGAGUGGAACUCCAGGUGUAGCGGUGGAAUGCGUAGAUAUAUGGAAGAACACCAGUGGCGAAGGCGGCUCUCUGGUCUGCAACUGACGCUGAGGCUCGAAAGCAUGGGUAUCGAACAGGAUUAGAUACCCGGGUAGUC